ACAAGAAGCAGGGGAUUCAGGUGUUUUCAGCCUCAGCUUUGCCAGCAGAACUACACAAUGACCACAUUCCAAAACAAAAUUAUAGGUGCUUAACAACAACAAACUGAACUUCAAGUCAUAAAAGCAAGCAGUGAAGGUCACUACUGCAGAAAAAAUGCAGAAGAAAGGCAGUUUCCAUUUGAAUGCUAAUUGGUGCCCCCAAAAAGCUGAAGAUAUCUUUAUUCCCUUAGGAUCUCCAUUUCCAUCCUCAGAUACUGAACUGAACUUAUCCGUAACAUACAAGCUUUCUUCAUCUAUGCUUCCUGUGACUGCCCAGUGAAGAGUAAUGUCUCCUUGGAAAUCUGACAGUGAAACUACAACGUGAAGGGUUUUUCAAAGUAUUGGACCAUCCAAACUUCCCAAACCAGAUAGUUUUUUUUCCCUAAUAAAUGAAAUAAAAUUUCAACUGCA